AUGUGUUGCCCGGCGGUCGCAGUUACUUUGGGGAUCCUAGCCUUGUUGUUCUGCGAUAGGCCCGGCUGUGGAGAGAUUCCCCCUGAUACACACCACUCUGAUAAUGGCACUUCUUCAGGACUGGAAAAUGUGGGAGAGCCAUCACCUCCUGAAGCAAUGGAUCCCAUUUAUGUUCAUAUUGGUGCCAAGGAAAUCACUCUCCCUUGCAAGCCUUCAAAAACUGACGUUGUAUUUGGUAUGAAUCCCAGCUACAACUGGAGCCUGGAUAAUGGAGAAAUCCAUGCUCUCCCUGGUGAUGCUACCCUGACUCUACAUAUGUUUCGCCCUGAGGAUAGUGGACUGUAUGAGUGCUCAAUCUCCUAUAUUAAACAAGGUCAACUCCACACCAAGACUUUCUACCAUACAGUGGUGGGCUAUCACAUACGUGGAGAGCUGGAGAUCCUACUGGUAUUUGAGAGCAGCUCUUGUGAUGAGGAUUUGACUCGUGGGUUCUUGAGAACCUUGCAUGAGCAGCUGAAUCAAGUGGUGUCUCGCCUCCACACUGAGAUCCUCGUUGGGGAUACCACCUGCUUCCCAACCUUGAACAAGCCUUUAGAUGCGUUCAACCUUCAGGUAGCGCUAAAAGUGUCUCCCUUCAUCAAGGGCUGGGAUGAAUCCUGCUCCCCCAAGAUUGAUCAGCUAGAAUUUGAAUGUUACCACUCAGCGGUCCAGACCAAUCUACAGAAAGCCAAGGAUGCAUUGACUGAUUUCUUUGAAGAGAACAAACAUUUCCACCUGGGAGAAACCCUUGGCUCCCGUGCCUCCUUUAUGAACACCUUUUUCAACUUCCUAGAGGGUGGAAAAUGCCAGAGCGGUUACGGACAGACACAGGAACUAGAGGAACGCUGUCCCGACUGCUGUACCUUGUGCCCUCCUGGAACAUAUAGUGAGGCUGCAGUUGAUGGCUGUGUUCUUUGUCCAACUGGGACCUAUAGCCUGCACUAUGGGACAUCUGUCUGUAUAAUGUGCCAGCAUAACUGGCCUACUGAACAUCCUGGUGCCAGAAGAGCUGGAGAGUGCAUGAGUUCAAGAGCCUCUUUAUCACGCCGGUUUCCUGUACUGAUGAUGGCACUUGUCUUACUGCCACUUGGUUGCCUUUGUCUCAUUGUGCUGUGAGUUCUGGGUUAUUGUUGUUCCUCUUUAAUCUCAGUUCUGUAGUAAAGUUUGGUAAACCAAAGAUUUAUAAUGGUUUACUGGUCAUUAAUCCAGUAUGGAGCAAGGUAGAUUUGGUAUAAAUCAAGUCAAUUUAAAUACAGUUAUUUAAAUCAUUAGUCAAUAAGACUUGAUUUAAAUCAUUAUUUUUAAAUGUAAAGACUCAUUCUUGCUCGUAGUUAUAAUUAGAGAUGGGAUUAUAAAUAUCCCUGGUGCAGGUGUCCCAGAUCCCCAGACCCGCCGCCCAGAACCAACCAGUCCACUUACAAGUUGCGGCACAGUGCAUGAGGCCA
rnacentral:lncRNA from 1 species